rnacentral:rRNA from 2 species
UGGGGAAUUUUGGACAAUGGGCGCAAGCCUGAUCCAGCAAUGCCGCGUGCAGGAAGAAGGCCUUCGGGUUGUAAACUGCUUUUGUACGGAACGAAAAGGCUCUGGCUAAUACCUGGAGCUCAUGACGGUACCGUAAGAAUAAGCACCGGCUAACUACGUGCCAGCAGCCGCGGUAAUACGUAGGGUGCGAGCGUUAAUCGGAAUUACUGGGCGUAAAGCGUGCGCAGGCGGUGCUGUAAGACAGGCGUGAAAUCCCCGGGCUCAACCUGGGAAUUGCGCUUGUGACUGCAGCGCUGGAGUGCGGCAGAGGGGGAUGGAAUUCCGCGUGUAGCAGUGAAAUGCGUAGAUAUGCGGAGGAACACCGAUGGCGAAGGCAAUCCCCUGGGCCUGCACUGACGCUCAUGCACGAAAGCGUGGGGAGCAAACAGG